rnacentral:rRNA from 1 species
UACGUAGGCAGCGAGCGUUGUUCGGAAUUACUGGGCGUAAAGCGCACGUAGGCGGAUCGAUCAGUCAGGGGUGAAAUCCCAGAGCUCAACUCUGGAACUGCCUUUGAUACUGUCGAUCUAGAGUAUGGAAGAGGUGAGUGGAAUUCCGAGUGUAGAGGUGAAAUUCGUAGAUAUUCGGAGGAACACCAGUGGCGAAGGCGGCUCACUGGUCCAUUACUGACGCUGAGGUGCGAAAGCGUGGGGAGCAAACAGG